rnacentral:rRNA from 1 species
GAUUUCUGGCCUGACGCCUCCUGUCCGCCGCCGUUAGGUGUGUGAGUACGGGAGCUGUGUCUGCCAUCCUUCCGGGAAGCGCGUCUGCCCUUCACUGGGUCGGGCGCGCGACCUGGAUCGUUUACUUUGAAAAAAUUAGAGUGUUUAAAGCAGGCGAUCGCCUCUGAAUACAUUAGCAUGGAAUAAUGAAAUAGGACUUUGGUUCUAUUUUGUUGGUUUCUAGGACUGAAGUAAUGAUUGAUAGGGACAGUUGGGGGUGCUAGUAUUCGACGGCCAGAGGUGAAAUUCUUGGAUUCGUUGAAGACUAACUAAUGCGAAAGCAUU